ensembl:lncRNA
GCUUCCUGUGGAUGGUUUUCUUGAUGCGAACUAGGCUGUUCUCAUUGGAAGAGGAGGAGGAGCUCCUUGCCUCACUGUCUCUGGGAAUGGCUGCAGUUUUCAUCAGGGGAGCUCUGAUCUUCACGCUGAACGCCACUCCCUGGCUCCAGUGUGGAUCCCUCGGCUUGGUGGCACAAAUCCUUCAUCUCACCAACAUAGGUUUUCUGGCUUCCACCACUGGCCUUUGGGCCUUCCAGGCUAAUGAUGCUGUGGUAUGAUGAUUGUCUCUCUCACAAUGCUGGACAGCAAGCAGUGAGUCAAACCCCCCAGUAAGUCACAAGACUGAAGGGAAACAACAGACUGCAGUGUGCUGUGCCGCUUACUAUGACUGUCCAUAGGGAUCGGACUCGGGACCUUGCACUUUCGAGGCAGGCGCCGGAACCACUGAACUAAAUCCCUGGCCCUGAGUUAAAUUUUUUUAGCAAAGAGAUACUUCAGAAG